UACGGAGGGUGCGAGCGUUAAUCGGAAUUACUGGGCGUAAAGCGCGCGUAGGCGGUUUGUUAAGUCGGCUGUGAAAGCCCCGGGCUUAACCUGGGAAUGGCAGUUGAUACUGGCGAGCUUGAGUGUGGUAGAGGGGUGUGGAAUUUCCGGUGUAGCAGUGAAAUGCGUAGAGAUCGGAAGGAACACCAGUGGCGAAGGCGGCUUGCUGGGGUCUAACUGACGCUGAGGCUCGAAAGUGUGGGGAGCAAACAGGAUUAGAUACCCUGGUAGUCCCU
rnacentral:rRNA from 1 species